UCAAGGUUUCACACAAAAAUACAUCGAAAGUGUGCACGAGAGAAUUGAAAUGGAGAAAAAAAAACGAACAUAAACUUUUUAUUCAAUUCAAUGGUGUCCUUCCAAAUACACGACUUCCUAUUCAUAGAAGUACUCACAAUUAAAGCCUAAACAAAUCUGAAUGACUGCAAAUUCCAAUAAAAAGAUAAACUAUUUCAUCCUAAUGAUGAGAAAAAGAUCGUAUCAUACCCUAAUGGUGAGUAUAAGGCAAAAAAAAAUAUCCUGAAAAGAUAAAACUGUCAUUUAUGUCUUCAUUUUACUUGAACUUCAGUUAAACGAAUCUUCUGGGUGUUUUCAUGGAAGUUGUAAACAAUUUUGUUCUUAAAAUUUGGACACUGACUUUGUGUCAGCAUAUCAUCAAAAUAUUGCACCUAGACGUCAUCAACUUCUUGGCCACCUUUGUCCUUCAACCCAUGUGAAUUAGUUAAACUCACGACACAUGAAAAUAUAGAUCUUAUAUUUUUGAAGGACACAAAUUGUUUCAACAUCAUUUCUGUAGAUCAAAAUAUUCCCUGUAGAAGACAAUAGGUCAAAAUGAACUAAAAUUCAUAAAUCAACAAUGAUUUACAUUAAAGUUCAUUUAUUUAAGUCUUUGCAUUUUAAACUCAACUAGAAUGUUCAUAUUCAACCAACUAUGCAAUAAAGGCUGCAUGAACUAUAAUAAACUUAUAAAAAUUCUAGCACAAAACAAAAUCAUUACUAGUUUACCGGAUUAUAAAGGAAUGGGUCCAUAUAGUAGAUCUAUAACUAAAUUUAAUGAAUGGAUAGAUGGUAUGACUUUGUCACUACUAUACCCACUUCUAGUGCACAAUUUACUUAGACCAACAACAAAAAAAGGUCGACACAAAAUAUGAGAGACUUGACAUAGUUGUUUGUAAUGCAAAAGGAUUUGUUCUUGGGUAAGAUGUUACAUGUUUUGCCCUUACCAUAACAUGUUCAUCAUAUCAUUCAAAAUAAUUCAAACACAGCCUGUGCUAUAGCUUGAAAUUAAGCCUCUACACUAGACCUUGCUACAACAUUUUGUUUUUUACUUCUCCAAAUUACCAAGUUUCCACCCAAGAACAUGCAAUGUCAACCUACUAUCUAUAACAGAACCCACAUAAUUUGCAUCAGUAUACACCUCCAUUUUUAAUUUUGCAUUCCUCUUGAACAACAAUCCCCUUCUUGGAGUUGUCUUCAAAUAUUGAAAGAUUAUAUUCAAUACAUGUAAAUGUCGCUCCUUUGGAUCUUGCAUAAAUUGACUGACUAUACUCAAUAUAAGCUAUGUCAUGUCUGAUGUGGGCUAAGUAAAUGAACUUCCUCAUAUGUUUCUAUUAUUGGACCUUAUUCAUCGUAACUACCUUCAUCACUUCUAAUUCUAUGACUAUGUUCUAUGGGAACUCCAAUCUUGCAAUCAAAUCUAUACUUUACAUUAUAAACUCACUUGCAUCCUACUUCCUUUUUAUCUUAUGGCCUAUCAACAAUCUCCCAUGUCUAGUUCUUUUCAUAGGCACUCAUCUCUUCAUUCAAUGCCUGAACCUAAUUCUAAUCCUUCAAUGUCUCUUGAAUCGAUGUAAGAACUCUAAGUGCAUCAAUGAGAGAGAGGAAACUCGUGUUGUGCAUGGAAAGGUGUUAGUAGACAUAAAAUGAGAAGUGGAAUACUUUGUACAAGACCAUGUUCCUUUUCUAAAAGCAAUAGGAAGUCCAUCCUGGUUAGAUUCACAAUUUUUAUUCAAGGAUUUUUUCAAAAGUUCAUGGGUGUUAAAACAUGGUUAUCGAAUCGAGAUUCGAAUCAUGAAUCGUAUUUCGAUUUUUUUGAAUCGUGAAUUGAAUCUUAGUAUGAAUAGGAAUAAGAAUAAAAUGAUAUAUUUUUAAAUAAGAAUAAGUGACAUGAAAAAAACAUUAGAUAUAUGGUAUAUGAAAAUGAAGUCAAAAUGUUCAAUCCACAAAAUCAAAACAUAAUAAAAUGUAAAAUAAUAUUUUCUAUAUGUAAAUCUUACAUCUUAAUCUUAUGCUU
rnacentral:lncRNA from 1 species